GACGAACCGUGCGAACGUUGUUCGGAAUCACUGGGCUUAAAGGGCGCGUAGGCGGGUUGCCAAGUCCAUGGUGAAAUCCUCCGGCUUAACCGGAGAACGGCCGUGGAUACUGGUGACCUCGAGGGAGGUAGGGGCGUGCGGAACUGUGCGUGGAGCGGUGAAAUGCGUUGAUAUGCACAGGAACUCCGGUGGCGAAGGCGGCACGCUGGACCUCUUCUGACGCUGAGGCGCGAAAGCCAGGGGAGCGAACGGG
rnacentral:rRNA from 1 species